rnacentral:rRNA from 1 species
UGGGGAAUAUUGCACAAUGGGGGAAACCCUGAUGCAGCGACGCCGCGUGAGCGAAGAAGGCCUUCGGGUCGUAAAGCUCUUUUAUGAGGGAAGAUAAUGACGGUACCUCAAGAAAAAGCCCCGGCUAACUACGUGCCAGCAGCCGCGGUAAUACGUAGGGUGCGAGCGUUGUCCGGAAUUACUGGGCGUAAAGAGCUCGUAGGCGGUUUGUCACGUCGUCUGUGAAAUCCUAGGGCUUAACCCUGGACGUGCAGGCGAUACGGGCUGACUUGAGUACUACAGGGGAGACUGGAAUUUCUGGUGUAGCGGUGGAAUGCACAGAUAUCAGGAAGAACACCGAUGGCGAAGGCAGGUCUCUGGGUAGUAACUGACGCUGAGGAGCGAAAGCAGGGGUAGCGAACAGG